rnacentral:rRNA from 1 species
UAGGGAAUCUUCCGCAAUGGACGCAAGUCUGACGGAGCAACGCCGCGUGAGUGAAGAAGGAUUUCGGUUCGUAAAACUCUGUUGUUAGAGAAGAACAGCGCAUAGAGUAACUGUUAUGCGUGUGACGGUAUCUAACCAGAAAGCCACGGCUAACUACGUGCCAGCAGCCGCGGUAAUACGUAGGUGGCAAGCGUUGUCCGGAUUUAUUGGGCGUAAAGCGAGCGCAGGCGGUCAAUUAAGUCUGAUGUGAAAGCCCCCGGCUCAACCGGGGAGGGUCAUUGGAAACUGGUUGACUUGAGUGCAGAAGAGGAGAGUGGAAUUCCAUGUGUAACGGUGAAAUGCGUAGAUAUAUGGAGGAACACCGGUGGCGAAAGCGGCUCUCUGGUCUGUAACUGACGCUGAGGCUCGAAAGCGUGGGGAGCGAACAGG